UGCCGCUCUAAAAAUGGUCCCAUCCCGGAAGUAAGAAAAAUUGCAGUUCCACCCUCAUCCGCUGGGGGCUGGUACCAGAAGCGAGCAAAUCCUCAUUGACCCCCAUGUUAAAAAUGCCAUUUUCACAGCAGAAAUAAACAUGUUUACAGCCUGGUUCAAAAAAUGGUUUUUUGUCUAAAUUAUCUAGUUUAUACUCAUGACAACUCUGAGGGGGGUGAAUUUUUUUCUCACUCUUCUGUUUAAGUGUAUUGAAAGCCUAAAAUUCUGUAUAAUUAAUGAGCAUCCGACACACGUGACCGCCGCCUCAGACCCACGUGACCACAUAGCUAGCUCCGUGGAAAGGCCUCAGUACAGCCUCGGUCUCUCCUGGAAACUGUGUCGGGAUUUUGAGUCUCUGUGCUUGUGAAUUCUGUUUUGGAUAAUAUUGGUGCAAUUGUUGGACAAAAUGACUUGCAGUGGUAUUAAUUGCACUAAUAGAGCGUCCAAGGAGUCUCCACUUCAUUUUUUUCGGGAAGGACCUGAUUGGUGUCCAGAACCUGCUGAAGAAGCACCAGGCUCUGCAGGCUGAGAUCACAGGUCAUGAACCUCGCAUCAAGGCUGUCACCCAGAAAGGAGAGACCAUGGUGGAAGAAGGUCACUUCGCUGGUGAGGAAGUGAAGACUAAACUGUGGGAGCUUCAUGGACGUUGGGACACGCUGAAGGCCAAGGCGUCCCAGAGGAGGCAGGACCUGGAGGACUCUCUGCAGGCCCAGCAGUACUUUGCGGAUGCUAAUGAGGCCGAGUCCUGGAUGAGGGAGAAGGAGCCCAUCGUUGGAAGUCCAGACUAAGGGAAAGACGAGGACUUGGCCGAGGCUCUCCUGAAGAAGCACGAGGCCCUGAUGUCGGACCUGUCGGCUUACGGCAGCAGCAUCCAGGCCCUGAAGGAGCAGGCCCAGUCCUGCAGGCAACAAGGUGAUCAGCAGGUGCUUUUGUCCUGCAGGACCUGAAGGCCAACGAGUCCCGCCUGAGGGACAUCAACAAGGUGGCAUCUGAACUGGAGUCAGAAGGUCUGAUGGCUGAGGAGGCUCCUAUGGUUCAGGCUCAGCAACAAGAACAUCUGGGUUCUGCUCCUGGAAAGGAUGAAGCCGACUCUAACACGGCGUCACCCUGGAAGGUGAGUUCAUUCAGCUGAUCAGAGGUCACCUCUGAUGGCAGCAGUCACGGCCGACCGUGCUGACAUCACACAGGAAUUCAGGUGACCCGGCAGGCACCAGGUGCUGGUGAAAGUGGGGACAUGUCAGCUGGUUGCCAUGGCUACAGUUAUCUUUAUGCAUCUGUAUGACUGCUGACUGGUGUGUGUUUCCUGUGACCUUUGACCUCAGACCGUACGGUUGGGCGUUCAGACGACGGCUAUCUUUAAUUCCAUCAAGGUAAGAGGAAGCUCUUCCCUUCCUGUCUGAGCGAUCCGUCUCCAGGUUUCCUCGUCCGGCGUCCAGCCCGCUGGCAUCCACCUUCAUCUCACCUUCAUCUCAUCUCACUUCAUUUAUAGUGCAAUACUUUCACAUUAUCAUUUUCCCACACUUCUGUAUACCUGUAUUUUGUUGUUUUUCAAUAAAGAAUGACAAAUUA